rnacentral:rRNA from 1 species
UACGUAGGGUGCGAGCGUUGUCCGGAAUUAUUGGGCGUAAAGAGCUCGUAGGCGGUCUGUCACGUCUGCUGUGAAAACCCGAGGCUCAACCUCGGGCCUGCAGUGGGUACGGGCAGACUAGAGUGCGGUAGGGGAGAAUGGAAUUCCUGGUGUAGCGGUGGAAUGCGCAGAUAUCAGGAGGAACACCGAUGGCGAAGGCAGUUCUCUGGGCCGUAACUGACGCUGAGGAGCGAAAGCGUGGGGAGCGAACAGG